GCCCCCUGCAGGACGAAGAAAGAGUUAAAGGUCAGUUUAUUUUUGGAAUAAAUGUGGCUGUUACACCACUUAACACAUGUUUAUAUAAACAUGUUGCUUAUAUCCAGAUCUCAGGGAGGUGGUUAGGAAUGUCAAGAAACAUGUAAUGGCUGGGGACAUAGUUCAGUUGGUAGUGUUUGUCUAGUAAGCACAAAGUCUUAUUAUUGGUUCUCCGCAUGGUUAGGCAUGGUGGGACAUGCCAGUAAUCCCAGUAUUCAGAACGCAGAUGCAGAAGAUCAGGAGUUCAAAGUCAUCACUGAUCAUGCACAGAAUUCAAGGCCAGCCUGGGCAACAUAAGACCCCGUGUCAAAACAAAUAGCCACAAGAAAGCAUCUAGAGAACGGAGUCUGGGAUGAUUGUCACCUGUGACAGGACACCUUUAACUGAUCUGUCAACGGUAUGUGCCAAGGGUACACCACUAAACAGAGAAGAGGCAGCUUAAAAGAUAGCCCGGGGGUUGGGGAUUUAGCUCAGUGGUAGAGCGCUUGCCUAGCAAGCGCAAGGCCCUGGGUUCGGUCCCCAGCUCCGAAAAAAAGAAAAGAAAAGAAAAGAAAAAAAGAUAGCCCGGGUUUGUUUUUCAUUUUAGCAUUACUGUAUAGAGCCAUGUAGCAGAGAAACAGUAGAAAGUUGUGCAUGAGACAGUUGGGUCUCACAAUCCAGUGUGCAGAUGGAUUCGUGAGGCCAUUGGGUCAGGAUAGGGACUGGGAUGGUGUUAUAGACAGAAACAUGUCUCCUUAAAUUCAAAUGUUGACACCUUAACCCUCCAUGUGACUGUAAAGAGGUCAUAGGUAAGGUUUGUAUGUAAUAGGGAUGAAGGAAAUCCUACUGCGAAAAGGAAGAGGUAAUCAGGAAGGUAUAUAGAGUCCAGUGUAGUAACUCCCCUGUAAUUCCAGCACUUAGGAAGCUGAGGCAGGAGGACUGUGGAAAGCUUGAGGCUAGCAUUGGCUAUACAGUGAGUGUCAGUCCAGUCCGUGUUCACAGUGAGACACUAUCUCAAAUACCAAGACUUAUUUCCCACUUGGUGUAAGACAGUUCUCGUUCUCUUCCUCAAGAAUAAAUGUAGGGAAAAUACAAAUGGAUUCUGCUCUCCGUGGAGAUGCAGAAGGGGAGCGCAGGGUCAGGGACAAAUGGUAAGUCCCUUUGUGACCAUGGGAAAUCUUCUACUAAUCACCAUGGCAUGCUGGGUAGGAAAGCUUGUUGGGUGUUUCUAGAACAUCUGUGCUUUCUAGAGAGGCUAAACAUUGGCCAGGAGUAGGAUAGUGGGAGACUUAAGAAAAAAAAAAUCCAGAUAUUUAAGUAAAAGUUUUAUGAGUUUUGUAUGUGGACUACAUUUUUGUUGUCUCAACCCAGUGCAGGUCAAACAAAACAUUUUUUUCCCUUUCAUCUUAAGCUUCCUGCCCCACUUCUGGGUUGAAACUAUCUUGGAAAAUCUGUGUACUGUUUCAAUAGCUCAUUAACUAUUACCACUGGGAUCCAUCAAGAGGUACUUUGGCUAUUUCUUACAGCUUUCUGGCAAAGCAAAAAACUUAGUAUUUUUUAUUUGAUCAUAAUAUUAUAUGUUUUUUUCCUAACACAGAAUUGAUCCUAAAAAUAUGAAGUUUAUUUUAAACCAGACUCACUGAGUUUGAAAGGUUUGUUGGCAUCAAGAACUGGCUUUACAGUCAGGAACCGCCUCCGAAUCCAGCGAUGACAGUGACGUCACCCGUACGCAACUGGGACCCGCAUGCAUCUGUUGCCAUGGCAAUCGCCAUACAUUCCCAGAGUUCCAGAGUCCACCUGGCCCACUCCUCACCUCUACCUGCGAGCGGUUACAUCACAGCCUAAAUAAAAGGCACCCUUCUUGACCUUUGCCCCCCUUUCUCUCUUUUCUCCCUUGUCUCCGACACUCCCUCUGUUCCCUUCCCCCACAAUAAACCUCUCUCACGUGGAACUGCAUUGGCCUGGCGUGGUCUGUCUGCAAUUCUAACACAACAGGGUUUGCUUUAGUUUGUGUUUUAAAGGCCCCUAAAGUUCUAUGUGUGAGAGGCUUCAUCUCUCCCUGUUUGUGUCUCUCUCGGGGAUAAAGUAGAAGGGCCAAGGCUUAAUGGAAGUUAGGUCACUGGACACAUGUCCUUGCAAGGGAGAUGGGGCCGAAGCCCUGUGUCUCUGUUUCCAUGAGUAAACUUUCUUCCUUUAGGACAUGUUUCCACUGCUGUGAAUACCGUGUCAUCACUGGUCCCAAACACAGGGCCAUGUGACUGGACCUCUGAAACAGGAGCUCAAACAUAGCUCUUCUUUUUAAGUUGGUUUUGGGUAUUUUCUUGUGAGGGGAAGAUGACCAACACCACGGAAGACUUCUGCAGUUUCCCUUUGUUAAAUUCUUCCUGAUUUCCCUGGGGCGGACAGUGGGUGUGGCAUAGACAAGGGAAGUGGGUGGGCGAACCCUGUGUGGGGAUAGCGGGUUUCUGUCCACACAAUUACCAUUGCUAUCCUUUAUUGUAAAAGGAAUCUGAGCUUUUCAAGCUGUGAAGACUUGUCACUAGAGAGAAUAAAAUACAUUUUUGGGAGAAAGACUCAGAAAUAAAUGGGGAGGCCAAGUCUGGCUUCUAGUAUGAACACA